AAGGCCAUUUUUCUUCUUCUUCUUGCCGUGAGUUGAGAAAGAAAAUAGAAACCUUUGAGCUUAGGGCAUUCGGCAAAAGAAGGCUUCAAAUAAGGUUGUGGAUUCUGACUACCAGUUCGGGGAUCAUCAGCACUUCGUCACACUAUUUACCAUUACGGCAACUAUGUAAUUAGACUUAGCUUAUGGCAUGUAUAGGAUAGAUAAUAUGGUAGAAUGAUAUUUUGACUAUUGUAUAUAAGCCAUAUGAAAAUGGCAUCUUUUGAAUGUU